CAGGGAACUUCUUCUGAGCGGGCCUGACAUUUGCCAGGGCAAAGAUACCAGCGCUCGGGCAUCGUGGAGAGACGGUAGAGACCGGCGGUCCCCUUCAAACGUCUUCUCCAAAAUGACCGUCUCGUCACUGCGAUCUCACCAGUGUGGGAUUCAGCGCAAAUCGGUGAGUCCUGCAGAGAUGCAAGAUGGAAGGAACCUGGACCUCCAAAUCACCUGCAGAGAGGAGAACCUCCUAGCCUUGGGGAACACCCAUUUUUGGACUUCAUGUCAGUGAUACACCAUCUUCCUCUGCAGCCAAGUUCAAAGGCCACUCAUCUAAGAAGCUUGCCCUGAGAUGAGCCAUGCUCAUGAUGGUCAGAACCAUGCCCUCCUCCUCUGGGAUGCUAAUUCUCCUAGCUUGAACCUCUCCAUCAGCAAGGAGCAUGCAUUGCCCUGAAAAACAUGAAGCUGCUAACGUGACUCUCCGUCUCUCCUGUGAGGCCCUAAGCUCUUGCAUUAGUUUCGCACCUGGCACACUGAGUCUGCAAA